CUUCAUCAAAUUCUGUCAGAUGUCAAUAAUUUUUUCGUUUGUACUGAACUUUAAUAAGUGUCUCAAAAAACAGUUUUUAUCAAAACUACAGAUCAUUGUGGAAUAAUCUCAGUUCUUUGGCGCAAUCAUCAUGCCUAUUACCGUAAUGGGGUGUUAAAUGAGGAUGGGGAUGGAGUGUACUCUGUGGAGGCGUCUAAAAACGAGUAUCUAGUGAAAUGUUCUGUUGUCAUUGAUGAAGAAUCUUUGAAGACGCUAUAUGGCGAAUUAUGGCCAGAUUUAACGACACUGGUAGCAUUUCUAAGUGAAAACCGACGGGGAGACCUCAAGUUAGUG